GAUGAACGCUGGCGGCGUGCCUAACACAUGCAAGUCGAGCGAAGCGGGGACGGGUGAGUAAAACGUGGGGAACCGCCUAUAAGACUGGGAUAACAUCGGGAAACCGGAGCCAAACCGGAAACUUAUAGAUGGAUCCACGCUCAAUUAUCUAGUUGGUAAGGUAACGGCUCACAAAGGCAACGAUGCAUAGCCGACCUGAGAGGGGGAUCGGCCACACUGGGACUGAGACCCGGUCCAGAAUCCUACGGGAGGCAGCAGGGGGGAAUCUUCCACAAUGGGCGAAAGCCUGACGGAGCAACGCCGCGUGUGUGAUGAAGGUCUUCGGAUCGUAAAACUCUGUUAUUAGGGAGGCGGUACCUAAUCAGGAAGCCACGGCUAACUCCGUGCCAGCAGCCGCGGUAAUUC
rnacentral:rRNA from 1 species